rnacentral:rRNA from 1 species
UCUCCGUAGGUGAACCUGCGGAGGGAUCAUUACACAAAAAAUAUGCAGGCCAACACUGCGGCUGUGCCCUCGGGCCAGUCUGCUGAGGCUGAAGUAUUUUUCACCCAUGUCUUUUGCGCACUUGUUGUUUCCUGGGCGGGUUCGCUCGCCAUCAGGACCACACCAUAAACCUUUUUUAUGCAGUUGCAAUCAGCGUCAGUAUCACAAAUGUAUAAUCAUUUACAACUUUCAACAACGGAUCUCUUGGUUCUGGCAUCGAUGAAGAACGCAGCGAAAUGCGAUACGUAGUGUGAAUUGCAGAAUUCAGUGAAUCAUCGAAUCUUUGAACGCACAUUGCGCCCUUUGGUAUUCCAAAGGGCAUGCCUGUUCGAGCGUCAUUUGUACCCUCAAGCUUUGCUUGGUGUUGGGCGUUUUUGUCUUGUGCAGCAAGACUCGCCUUAAAACGAUUGGCAGCCGGCCUACUGGUUUCGGAGCGCAGCACAUUUUUGCGCUUGCAACCAGCACAAGAGGCCGGCACUCCAUCAAGUCCUCUUUCUCACAUUUUGACCUCGGAUCAGGUAGGGAUACCCGCUGAACUUAA